GAUGAACGCUAGCUACAGGCUUAACACAUGCAAGUCGAGGGGCAGCAUGGUCUUAGCUUGCUAAGGCCGAUGGCGACCGGCGCACGGGUGAGUAACACGUAUCCAACCUGCCGUCUACUCUUGGACAGCCUUCCGAAAGGAAGAUUAAUACAAGAUGGCAUCAUGAGUCCGCAUGUUCACAUGAUUAAAGGUAUUCCGGUAGACGAUGGGGAUGCGUUCCAUUAGAUAGUAGGCGGGGUAACGGCCCACCUAGUCUUCGAUGGAUAGGGGUUCUGAGAGGAAGGUCCCCCACAUUGGAACUGAGACACGGUCCAAACUCCUACGGGAGGCAGCAGUGAGGAAUAUUGGUCAAUGGGCGAGAGCCUGAACCAGCCAAGUAGCGUGAAGGAUGACUGCCCUAUGGGUUGUAAACUUCUUUUAUAAAGGAAUAAAGUCGGGUAUGGAUACCCGUUUGCAUGUACUUUAUGAAUAAGGAUCGGCUAACUCCGUGCCAGCAGCCGCGGUAAUACGGAGGAUCCGAGCGUUAUCCGGAUUUAUUGGGUUUAAAGGGAGCGUAGAUGGAUGUUUAAGUCAGUUGUGAAAGUUUGCGGCUCAACCGUAAAAUUGCAGUUGAUACUGGAUAUCUUGAGUGCAGUUGAGGCAGGCGGAAUUCGUGGUGUAGCGGUGAAAUGCUUAGAUAUCACGAAGAACUCCGAUUGCGAAGGCAGCCUGCUAAGCUGCAACUGACAUUGAGGCUCGAAAGUGUGGGUAUCAAACAGGAUUAGAUACCCUGGUAGUCCACACGGUAAACGAUGAAUACUCGCUGUUUGCGAUAUACUGCAAGCGGCCAAGCGAAAGCGUUAAGUAUUCCACCUGGGGAGUACGCCGGCAACGGUGAAACUCAAAGGAAUUGACGGGGGCCCGCACAAGCGGAGGAACAUGUGGUUUAAUUCGAUGAUACGCGAGGAACCUUACCCGGGCUUAAAUUGCAGAUGAAUUACGGUGAAAGCCGUAAGCCGCAAGGCAUCUGUGAAGGUGCUGCAUGGUUGUCGUCAGCUCGUGCCGUGAGGUGUCGGCUUAAGUGCCAUAACGAGCGCAACCCUUGUUGUCAGUUACUAACAGGUUCCGCUGAGGACUCUGACAAGACUGCCAUCGUAAGAUGUGAGGAAGGUGGGGAUGACGUCAAAUCAGCACGGCCCUUACGUCCGGGGCUACACACGUGUUACAAUGGGGGGUACAGAGGGCCGCUACCACGCGAGUGGAUGCCAAUCCCCAAAACCUCUCUCAGUUCGGACUGGAGUCUGCAACCCGACUCCACGAAGCUGGAUUCGCUAGUAAUCGCGCAUCAGCCACGGCGCGGUGAAUACGUUCCCGGGCCU
rnacentral:rRNA from 1 species